rnacentral:rRNA from 1 species
CCUGACUGCUAUCGGAUUGAUACUAAGCCAUGCGAGUCAUUGUAGCAAUACAAGGCAUACGGCUCAGUAACGCGUAGUCAACCUAACCUAUGGACGGGAAUAACCUCGGGAAACUGAGAAUAAUGCCCGAUAGAACACUAUACCUGGAAUGGUUUGUGUUCCAAAUGAUUUAUCGCCGUAGGAUGGGACUGCGGCCUAUCAGUUUGUUGGUGAGGUAAUGGCCCACCAAGACUAUUACAGGUACGGGCUCUGAGAGGAGUAGCCCGGAGAUGGGUACUGAGACACGGACCCAGGCCCUAUGGGGCGCAGCAGGCGAGAAAACUUUGCAAUGUGCGAAAGCACGACAAGGUUAAUCCGAGUGAUUUGUGCUAAACGAAUCUUUUGUUAGUUCUAGAAAUACUAACGAAUAAGGGGUGGGCAAGUUCUGGUGUCAGCCGCCGCGGUAAAACCAGCACCUCAAGUGGUCAGGAUGAUUAUUGGGCCUAAAGCAUCCGUAGCCGGCUCUGUAAGUUUUCGGUUAAAUCUGUACGCUUAACGUACAGGCUGCCGGGAAUACUGCAGAGCUAGGGAGUGGGAGAGGUAGACGGUACUCGGUAGGAAGGGGUAAAAUCCUUUGAUCUAUUGAUGACCACCUGUGGCGAAGGCGGUCUACCAGAACACGUCCGACGGUGAGGGAUGAAAGCUGGGGGAGCAAACCGGAUUAGAUACCCGGGUAGUCCCAGCUGUAAACUAUGCAAACUCAGUGAUGCAUUGACUUGUGGUCAAUGCAGUGCUGCAGGGAAGCCGUUAAGUUUGCCGCCUGGGAAGUACGUACGCAAGUAUGAAACUUAAAGGAAUUGGCGGGGGAGCACCACAAGGGGURAAGCCUGCGGUUC